AGCUUAAAUGUUUGAAACUCAACUGGCCUUUUCUGCCAUGAAGGAAACAUGUUAAAUAUACACAGUAUCCUAAGGCAAGCUCAGGAAGGACAGAAACCUCCCGUGCAGGAGAAGAGCAAAAGCUUGCUUUGUCUUGAUUUUCAGUAUGAACACAGACCGUGAAAGGGGGGCCUCACGAUCCUUCUGAACUUGUGGUUUUAAGCAGGAGGUGUCAGAAAUAUUAC
rnacentral:ncRNA from 1 species